CAGCCGCCACGGUAAUACGAAGGGUGCAAGCGUUAAUCGGAAUUACUGGGCGUAAAGCGCACGCAGGCGGUUUGUUAAGUCAGAUGUGAAAUCCCCGAGCUUAACUUGGGAAUGGCAAUGGAAACUGGACGGCUAGAGCGUGUCAGAGGAUGGUGGAAUUCCCGGUGUAGCAGUGAAAUGCGUAGAGAUCGGAAGGAACAUCUGUGGCGAAGGCGACUAUCUGGGCCAACACUGACACUGAGGCACGAAAGCGUGGGGAGCAAACAGGAUUAGAUACCCGAGUAGUCCCUGUCUCUUAUAC
rnacentral:rRNA from 1 species